CUGCCGCCUGCGCCUUUGUCCUGCGCUGCCCGCCCUUGUGCUAAAGGACAGGCGAGAGGACGCCGGGCGCAGGCGGCGCGGGCAAGCAUCCACCCGAGUCCCGACCCGGCUCCCACGCUCGGAGCCUGGCCGGGCUGGAGCUGAGGGAGGUAGCUCCCUGUCAUCUUGAGCUUGAUGCCCACCUCUGGCCAGCAUGGCAGCUAUGUGGAUUGCUGACUGACUGGGACCGAGGGACAGUGCGCAGAUGAAAACUGGACUCAUAAAGGGAAGUUAAAGUCCUGCCUUGAGGAGACACAGUCACUGGCUGUUCAUCAGAAGGCCUUGUGAAAUAGUGAUGUCCUUCCACUUCUGUCCUGCCUGUGGCAAUUUUGCAAAGAAUUCUCUGCCUUCUUCAGAAAGAGCAUUAGAUGGGUGGCACGUGUGCAGGGUGAGGGGGAUGGCUCUCUCUGUGUCUCCUCCCCUCUUACUGGAAACCAGCUUUCUCAUGCCAAAGAUGGGGACAAGUUGUUCUAAAGGCACUCAGAAGGCAGAAAUUAGCGCUUUUAAAACUGAAGGUGAAUCAGAAGGUCUAUUUCUGCCUCACACGCUUCUGUUCAGCCAUUUAAAAGGACCAAAAUUAACUUCUGAACACAUCCAUUCUUUGCACAAAUAAUAGUGGGAGGUGGACCAAAUCGCUUUGUGAGACAGAAAUCCUCUCUGAGGGUUUGUUUUCAGCGUCUAUGUUUUCAAAUGAUCAAAAUUCAGGUUCUUAUGGUGUUUGAAAGAGUUCACCCACAGGAGCAGACCCUAACAUUUCAAGCUUAGCUUUGAGCAAAUUUUUAUGGCUGGCUUAGAGACCUUUGAAAAACACACUUAAUUAUAACAAGGCAGCAUUGUGCAAACAUAUGGGGAUGUUGUUUACACUACUCCAUUCUUAUCAGUUAGAAGAAACACAAUAAAAAUAUUAAAGAGCAAACAAGCCAAAAUCAAUGUGAAAGGAGAUCAAAGUAUAAUUAAUUGAAAAGGAAAGUGCAUGCAAAAAUACUGUAAAGUAUCACCACACGUAAGGUAAUAUCCCAUUAUCAUAAUCAUCUCUAAGCCUUAAGAGAGAGU